rnacentral:lncRNA from 1 species
CUGUCCCUUGUUCUCCCUGCAUAUGUGUGUGUGGGUGGGUGUGGCCCUGGCAGGUGAUUGGCCACACCUGAAGACCAUGUCACACCUGCAGCUGAUCAGGCCUCGUCGGAGGAGCUACUUGAGAGUGUGGUGGAGCUCUCUCCGACGCUGGAUCAUUGCGUGGCUUCACGAGUAGCGAGAGACGAGAGAGUAGCGAGAGACGAGAGGGCAGCAAGCACGGGGUGCUCAUCACGGAGAAGCGGAGACAGGAGCACUAACACUGGGAAGAGGACACGUCACGGGAGUCGGGAGAGCACGGGAUUUAUUGUCAUGUUUUUCCAUCAAUGUAAAUAAACACACUGCUUGUACUAAGAGCACCGCGCCUGGGUCCUCCAUUCCCCAUAUCCCCACGGUCUGCCAUGUCAAACCGUGACAAUUACACUGUGGUAGCGAACCAGAAACAUUGCCAUAAUAUUUUAAUACUCCAGCCUACCUGUUUGUGCAAGGGCAGAAGGUCUUUAAGAGCUUACACCCUGUGUAUCCUGUUUUGACUGGUGGG